GGUGGCGGAUGGUGGCUUAGUGGUUAACACACAUGCCUCACACCUCUGGGAUUGGGGGUUCAAUUCCCACCUCCACCC